rnacentral:rRNA from 1 species
UACAGAGGUCUCAAGCGUUUGUUCGGAUUCAUUGGGCGUAAAGGGUGUGUAGGUGGCGCCGUAAGUCGGGUGUGAAAUUUCGGAGCUUAACUCCGAAACUGCAUUCGAUACUGCGGUGCUUGAGGACUGGAGAGGAGACUGGAAUUCAUGGUGUAGCAGUGAAAUGCGUAGAGAUCAUGAGGAAGACCAGUGGCGAAGGCGGGUCUCUGGACAGUUCCUGACGCUGAGGCACGAAGGCCAGGGGAGCAAACGGG